rnacentral:rRNA from 1 species
AAGCGGUACGCGAGCUGGGUUUAGAACGUCGUGAGACAGUUCGGUCCCUAUCCGCUGUGCGCGUAGGAGUCUUGAGAAGGGCUGUCCCUAGUACGAGAGGACCGGGACGGACGAACCUCUGGUGUGCCAGUUGUUCUGCCAAGGGCAUGGCUGGUUGGCUACGUUCGGGAGGGAUAACCGCUGAAAGCAUCUAAGCGGGAAGCCUGCUUCGAGAUGAGGACUCCCACCCACUUGAUGGGGUAAGGCUCCCAGUAGACGACUGGGUUGAUAGGCCGGAUAUGGAAGCACGGUAACGUGUGGAGUUGACCGGUACUAAUAGGCCGAGGGCUUGUCCUC